AGUGAACGCUGGCGGUAGGCCUAACACAUGCAAGUCGAACGGCAGCACACUAAGAGCUUGCUCUUAUGGGUGGCGAGUGGCGGACGGGUGAGGAAUAUAUCGGAAUCUACUUUUUCGUGGGGGUUAACGUAGGGAAACUUACGCUCAUACCGCAUACGACCUACGGGUGAAAGCAGGGGAUCUUCGGACCUUGCGCGAUUGAAUGAGCCGAUGUCGGAUUAGCUAGUUGGCGGGGUAAAGGCCCACCAAGGCGACGAUCGGUAGCUGGUGUGAGAGGAUGGUAGGCCACCCUGGAAGUGAGCCGCGGUCAAGGCUCCUACGGGAGGCAGCAGAGGGGAAUGUUAGACAAUGGGCGCGAACCUGGUCCAGCCAGAGGGCGUGGGAGGAGGAAACCUUGGGGUUGGAAAGACCUUUUGUUGGGAAAAAAAAGCAGCAGGUUAAUACCACGCUGUUGUGACGGUACCCAAAGAAUAAGCACCGGCUAACUUCGUG
rnacentral:rRNA from 1 species